rnacentral:rRNA from 1 species
AGUGAACGCUGGCGGUAGGCCUAACACAUGCAAGUCGAACGGCAGCACAGUAAGAUCUUGCUCUUACGGGGUGCGAGUGGCGGACGGGAGAGGAAUAUAACCGAAUCUACUUUUUCGUGGGGGUUAACGUAGGGGAACCUACUCUAAUACCGCAUCCGACCUACGGUUGAAAGCAGUGGAACUUCUGACCUUGCGCGAUUGAAUGAGCCGCUGUCGGAGUAGCUAGUUGGCGGGGUAAAGGCCCACCAAGGCGACGAUCGGUAGCUGGUCUGAGAGGAUGAUAGGCGACACUGGAGCUGAGCCAGGGUCCAGGCGACUACGGGAGGCCGCAGUGGGGAAUAUUGGGCAAUAGGGGCAAGCCUGGUACAGCCAUACCGAGUCGGUGGAGGAGGCGUUGGGGUUGGAAAGACCUUUUGUUGGGAAAGAAAAGCAGCAGGUUAAUACGACGCUGGUCUGACGGUAACCAAAGAAUAAGCACCGGCUAACUUCGUG